rnacentral:rRNA from 1 species
GUCGCAAGACCAAAGAGGGGGACCUUCGGGCCUCUUGCCAUCGGAUGUGCCCAGAUGGGAUUAGCUAGUAGGUGGGGUAACGGCUCACCUAGGCGACGAUCCCUAGCUGGUCUGAGAGGAUGACCAGCCACACUGGAACUGAGACACGGUCCAGACUCCUACGGGAGGCAGCAUG